rnacentral:lncRNA from 1 species
CCAAACUCUAUUUUUGCUUCCCUAAAUGCCCCUCAUUCUUUUAUUAGCUAAAACCUUCAAUUUAUUUAUUUUAUUUUUUUUUUACCUUAUCUUCUACAUUGUCACCAUCUUAACUCUUUAGAUCUAAGAAAACUUUGUUGAAAUUACUGUGGAGUAAUCCUUCAUCUUCUUCACAUCUCCUUCUUCUUCACAUCUUUUCAACUUAGAAAAAAUAAACUUAAAUCAAAAUAACAACAUCUCCUUCUUCUUUUUCUUUUUCUUUUUCUUCUUCUUCUACUUCUUCACAUCUCUUCUAAAUGAAUUGAAGCAACAACAUCUUCUUCAAGACUUCUUCUUCUUCUUAGAUCUACAAUUAGUCAUUUAAAAUCGAAACAAUCGCAAUAAUGAACAAUGGGGAAGGUCACUCUACAAGUUUAUGAACAAUGGGGAAAGUAAAUCUUUGCAUUAUGUGUCUUCUAUUUCUUAGAUCUAAAUUUUCUUUUUUGAUUUGUUCCAAACUGGGGUGCGCCAUUGCUAAAACCCCUAUGCUCAGAGUCCAGACUAAUACAAAAGGAACCUUUCCGUCGAAUGUAAUCUAAACACUUUGCAGGUAUCAGAAUACAUAAUCUAGGACUUGAAGCAGACAACGUAGUCAGCAGUCAGCACUAUAAGCUUGCAUAUACCGUUUCAUUCACAGUAAUCCAAAGCUCGUGCUUGUUCUCCCCGAGCUGAGCAAACAUUUCCCAAGAUUAAAAAUUACACUAGACUAGAGUACUACUGGCAGUGAGCUCAGUUUGGAUUGGACAUCGAACAUAAGUGAUUCACAAAUCCGGCCCAAAACAUAUCCAUCAAUAUUGUGGCCCAUCCAUCAACAUUAUUGGAUCCUUACCUUUAACAAUCUUUAGAUCCGUCAAGAAGCCCAAAACUGUUGCAGUCUUACAAACAAGCUUUAAUGGGGAGAACUCGAAGAAGACGAUGUAGAAGAUUUCAAUUUCUUAGUCCCACAUCGACUUACACUUGGACCAGAUGAGAAUGGCUUCAAGUCAAGAUUCAAGAAGCUCAUUUGAAUGCAAGUUCAAACUGGUAUGUUCUCUCUCCAGUCUCCAAGGGUUUUAUGCGUAUGAUUCCUUCGGAGUGUAGAACUUAAUUAAUCUUACUUAUUAUUGUUUAAACGACUAGAGUAGUUAUUGUUAAUAUAAUCAGUUAAUUUUGCAUUUAAGUUUCAAGUAUUUUGGUGUUUGGUAUUGCACUUGAGCUUGCAGUGGAUAGUUUUGUUAUCGUCUUAUGGUUAUUGCUUGAUUGAUCUUUAUCACUUUUUUAUUUAUUGAGGAAAUGCGACAUGUUAUCUUACCACGCAAAAUGCGAUAGGGAUUUUGUAUCAUUGUUCUAUGGUUACUUGACAACUGAGAUACCAAUAACUAACUAACGAGAUCUCUCGAAGUUAAAAAAGAAAGGAUUCUGGGAUGCAGUGGAACUAAUGUAUCAAGCACUAGGAAUAAAUUCAUAAAACAAAUAAAACUGCAAAGUAAUGACAUGACACACUGAAAUUCUGAAAAUUUGAUCCUAAACUAAACUAUGAUAUGAUGUGAUCCAAGGAAGAACCACCUUAUUGAGUAUUUUAGUAUCUACACAUACAACGCAAACUGUGUUUUCUAAAGGUUGGGCUGCACCCUCACUCCGAAACGCUGCAAACAUCAAAAGCAGCAUCUUCUUGUCCUCUGCGUCAAAACUUGGCCUCUGCCUCCCCAGAUGAUUCUAUGCUCAUGAUAUAUUCAAUUUCUUCUGCUAUUUCUUUCAUUGAAGGUCGGUUCUGUCUUUUCUCUUCUAAACAACUCAGUGCUAGGAAUGCCAGUGCCUUUAUAGUAUCUAAUUCCACCUUGCUGGCUCCAUCCAGGAGCAUAGGGUCAAUUGUUUGCAUCAGCAACUCUUCUUCUGUUUUCCUCUGAACAUAGACUACCAAGUUUACAUCAUCUGUUCCUCUAGUGAAAUCUAUGGCCUUCUGUGAAGUCAACAGCUCCAGUAGAACAACUCCAAAGCUGUAGACAUCACUUUUAUCUGUUAACUGGUAGUUUCUAUAAUAUUCAGGAUCUAGAUAACCCAACGUUCCCUGGGCACAGGUGGAUAUAUGGCUUAGAUCAGUUUCGGCAAGGCGAGAAAGCCCAAAGUCCGCGACCUUGGCAUUGAGCUUUUCAUCGAGGAGGAUAUUGCUUGAUUUCACAUCACGAUGGUAUAUUGGAGGAACUGCAGAUGAGUGAAGGUAAGCAAGACCUUCAGCAGUUUGAUGGGCAAUGCGUAGGCGACGGUGCCAUGUCAGUGAACUCCUCAUUCCUGGGUGGAGUGCAUGGAGAUGUUCAGAAAGUGUUCCGUUCGGUAUGUAUUCAUAGACCAUUAGUGGUUGCUGAAGUUCUACACAGCAGCCAAGAAGGCGAGCAAGGCAACGAUGGUUCACCUGGCAAAGUAUUCUAACCUCAUUAAGGAUCUGAUCAGUACCCUUUGCAUUUCCAAGCUUAGCACACUUAACGGCUAUUAAAGUACCAUCUUCCAAUAUGCCCUUAAAGACCUCACCAUAUCCCCCAGCGCCAAGAAGGCGAUCUUUAGAGAAAUGGUUAGUUGCUUUCUUCAUUUCCUUUCCUGUGAAAACUUUAGCAGACUUGCCUCCACUGUUGGAAUUUAGGAUCUCUUCUCGCUCUCUUGUCAACCGUUCUUGAGCUUCUAUGAUCUUUCUGUGUCGCUUGUAGACAAGAAAUCCCACAAUUGCAGCAAGUAGGAUUGCAGCCAAACCAGCUGUUAAACCUGUCAAAUUAGCGCUUUAGUCAGAAAACUUGAAAUCAUGGGAAAAUGGGAAACCCUUGCUCUGAGCAUCAAUCUCAAACUUACCUGCUAUGAGUGGGGUUCGGUUUGUCGAGUUAUCACAGCCUUCAGGAUUUUGACAGGUCACAACUGCACAACACAAGUAUGAAUUAGAAUUCUGUUCAACAUUUUUUUUAAUCAAUCUGCAUCAUCAAAAGUAAGUAGAUACAUUUAGCAUAAGCGUCACAGCAUACUUACUGAAGGCACAAUUGCCACGGAUUGGAUCCCACCGAUAUCCACUUUCACAUAAACAUCUGCUUUGCCCGAAAACUAACGGGUCUCGAGAGCAAUUCGAGUUUGAUGUGGAUGCACAAUCACUCUGCAAUCGACAUAAUGGUUCCCGCGGUGACACCCAUUGUAUCUCCACCCCCGACUCAGGCCACCUACUAACUGGCAGAGAAUAAUCUAAAUUGACAAAGCUCCGAUACGCUUUACACCCACUUUCCCUUACACGGAUUUGAUACGCAGUAGAAGACCCACCUGCCCCAAAUGUACAACAAAGUGGAGCGUUCUGGCAAACCGAACCCUCUACUGUAUUAUUGAUGUAAGUGUGGCAAAGACUUGUUGAAGUACAAUUUAAAGGUGAUCUAAGUAAACUAUCAGAACAGUUCAAAUACAUAAUAGUGUUACUACUUGUAACAUUAAAUGGUAGACUACUAUUGAGCUGGAUUCCUUCAGAUCUAAAAUCGGAUGUAAUACAGGUAUUCCCUACAAAGCUAGCAGGUUGGAUUACAAACCGUUGGGUCUCUGAGUUGAUGGAUGAUAUUGCGUACGAG